UGGGGUGUAGCUCAGUGGUAGAGUGCUUGCCUAUCAUGCAAGACCCUGGGUUCAGAUUCCAGUACAGGAA
rnacentral:tRNA from 1 species